UACGAAGGGUGCAAACGUUGCUCGGAAUCAUUGGGCGUAAAGCGCACGUAGGCGGCUCUGCAAGUCGGAUGUGAAAUCCCUCGGCUCAACCAAGGAAGUGCAUCCGAAACUGCGGAGCUUGAGUACUUAAGAGGAUCGCGGAAUUCCCGGUGUAGAGGUGAAAUUCGUAGAUAUCGGGAGGAACACCAGUGGCGAAGGCGGCUUGCUGGGCCGGACCUGACGCUGAGACGCGAAGGCGUGGGGAGCGAACGGG
rnacentral:rRNA from 1 species